rnacentral:ncRNA from 1 species
UUGAGCCGUAUGAGAUGAAAGUUUCACGUACGGUUCUUAGAAGAGGGAGGACGGGCAACCGUUCUUCUUUAUUCGGC